AUACGUAUGAUCUCGACAACCUUUUGAACAUUAAUCUCUUUACAUCCCGAUCUAAGUAUGAAACAAGCAAAUUGUAUGCGCGAACCACGUCCUUUCGAAUAAAAGCGACAAAAGGGUGUCGGCUAAGCGGUCAGCCUAGCUACACAUACUGGUUAAUGUGUAGACAUUUGGUGUUCACGGCUGUAUCAGAGCAAAGAAUGAAUAUUCAACGGUAAACAGCGGGCAGCAGCGGUUUGCAAAGGGUUGUACGCGGAGAUAGAGAAGGGAUAGGAGGCAAGGUGGUUCCUGGUUUGGCCAGCAGGGGAGAUCUGCCGUGACUUGUGCAGAUAUAAACGUGGCCACGGUUCAGAGGGGCGUUGUUUACGAUAUUACAUCUGUAAUACCCGGUCAAGUGGGCAGCGUCCACCGGUGUUCCGUAAUCUCUUCCGUGCCAGGACUUCGUUCCUAGCCAGAUACAGCACGUCGAGCUACGGUAAUAGUGGUGGCCUCGUAAGUGCAUCGAGGAUAGUACACCGUGGUUUAAUACUUUCUCAAGUAUCUGCUGCAAUGUACGCUGCCUAUGCGACGUAACGUUGGGGCAUUAUAUUUUCAGCGUUAUCAGAAAGAGGAGAAUAAAAGAUAAGACGAGAAUUUAGCGAUUUCAUCGAUACCAACUGUCCGCCUCAGAAGUUGGUAGCCGAAGGACAAACAUCGGUGUAGCUAGGGAGAACGAUGUUUUGAUUCUGGCUGUUAUAGGGAAGACAUAUAUCACUGGUCCACCCUAUUGCUAUAGAUGCUAGUAGUUAGGGUAGCGAUGUUGGGCCCGAAUGGACAUGCAGCGAUUUAUUGCUACGUUCGAUAUAUAUGAUUAUUUAAAUCUUUUUCAACUAUCAUGGCUUCCUGCACAUAAAUUUAUCUAUUCUUAUACGUUUCAAAUAAUGCUAUUUAUCAUUUGACGAAUAAUAUAGGUCAAUUGUCAUUUGUCGAUCAAUUAAAAAAAUUUGAGGACAAAAUUUACUUUGACGUGUAAAUUCCUCGCAUGAAAAGCAGAAAGGCGUGUAAACGUGGACACGAAGCGAUCUUGGAUGUUGGCUGGGAAGUCCAGUAACACGUUUCCGUUAUGGAGAUUGGUUCUGCUGACGGAAUACAAAGCACGCGGUUGCACGGGAUAUAGUAAUGGCGAAACUAAGGACACGAUCUCGAACCGCGUAUAUCUCGAACAGAUCCGUCUCGAGUUUAUUGAGAUUGACACUUGCCUUUAACCUUCGCAUGUUAUUUAAAGACUUUCACAAGAUCUUUAAAUUGAAGUUUCACCUUUUGUUAUUUGGUUUCGAUUCUUUCGAUUAUUGAGCGAAUUUGUAUUCUUUGAGAUUCUUUUUUAUAAGCUUAUAAAUUAAUAAUGAAAAUAUAUUAAAAUAUAAAGGAAUAAAGGAAAAAUUACACGAGAUACAGUCUUCUUUUCACGAUGUCUCGAAUUCAACUAACGAAUACUUUUUACAAUUGAUUUUCACUCUUAACGCAAUGUCUAUUGGGUAUGAGUUGCAUUUCUCUAUCUGUCCAAGAUUAAAGAGAUGUGUGAGAAGGAAUUACGAUGCAGAAGAGAUCCGCGACGAAUUCACGGCGAAUACAAAAGGGGAUCGAUGGAUCGUCUAAGGCCGUGUCUGACAGGAAAGUCGAAAUCUGUCGGUGGCAGAAAUAUUCGAAGCGCAUGGCGUAUUUCACGCCUAAUUUCUCGCGAAUUCCGCGCUGAAUAUUCUUCGUUCUCGAUCUCAUGCGGGCCACGUGCCAUUCAUCUCAUAGCCGGCUGAAUCUUUGAAUCGCGGUUUCAGUCACUUUAAUCUUUUUUUUUUCUUUUCUCAUUUUUCAUCUUGUUUUUAUCUUAAGUUUUUUUUUACUAGAUUAUAGAUUUAUUUUCUUCAAAAUUUUCAUUAUUUAUUAUACUUGAUACUUAGAUACAAGAAGAAAGGAAUUGUCAAUGCCAAUUAUUAUUUUCUAUAUAUUUUCUAUAUUUAUAAAACAUAUUUAGAAAAAUAAGAAUUCGUUUCAUUUUUCAGUUUUAAAAAUGACAACAAUAAAAUUUACAUCUGUAAAAAAAGAAUGUAGAAUCUGUUUUACUUAAUCUAAUGAUUUUGUACAAUUAUCUUUGUCAUUUGGUGAAAAAAGGAAGUAUAUCAUGUAUAUCAAAUUGUGAUAUUAUUUUAAAUAAUGUUUAAUGUAUGUAGUCAAAAU
rnacentral:lncRNA from 1 species